rnacentral:tRNA from 1 species
AGUAAAAUGCCUGACUAAAGGAUUAUUUUGAUAGAAUAAAUUAUGUAAUAAUUAUUACUUUUACUA